rnacentral:rRNA from 1 species
AUUGAACGCUGGCGGCAUGCUUUACACAUGCAAGUCGAACGGCAGCACAGGGAGCUUGCUCCUGGGUGGCGAGUGGCGAACGGGUGAGUAAUGUAUCGGAACGUGCCUGGUAGUGGGGGAUAACUACUCGAAAGAGUGGCUAAUACCGCAUGAGAUCUUUGGAUGAGAGCGGGGGACCUUCGGGCCUCGUGCUACUGGAGCGGCCGAUAUCAGAUUAGGUUGUUGGUGGGGUAAAGGCCUACCAAGCCUGCGAUCUGUAGCUGGUCUGAGAGGACGACCAGCCACACUGGGACUGAGACACGGCCCAGACUCCUACGGGAGGCAGCAGUGGGGAAUUUUGGACAAUGGGCGCAAGCCUGAUCCAGCAAUGCCGCGUGCAGGACGAAGGCCUUCGGGUUGUAAACUGCUUUUGUACAGAACGAAAAGUCUCUGGCUAAUAUCUAGAGAUCAUGACGGUACUGGAAGAAUAAGCACCGGCUAACUACGUG